rnacentral:lncRNA from 1 species
UCAUCAACGGGCAAAGCUGGAUGGAUGUGGUUCUUCCAGGAUUAAAACAAGAUGGAGAUCCUCACAUACUACUAGACGCACAAUAAGCGUAAUAACAAAGAGGAUCAAAACAUACAUUGAUUUCUCCAUUCAAUUCGGUGCUUCAUCUUCCUGUCUUAACUUGUUAAUUAGUAAUCGCAAUCAACAAAUUAAAAGCAUAAACAUAAACUAAACAAUACUAAACUAAGAACACAAGAGAAAAUGAAAGAAAAUUAUUUUUCUAAAAUUAAAAGAAGCCACACCUGAGUUUCUUGGUUUUUUGCGUCAACCUAGCUAUUACAAGCUAUGAAGCACGGACUCUGACACGGACACCGCGACAUGACACGGCCACCGCGACACUGCUAAUGUAAAAAAUAUAGGAUACCGACACCGCUAAAUUUAAUUUGAGCAAGUUAUUUUUUAAAAAAAGUUUUAAAACAAGAUAUGAUAGUAUUUUACCUUUAUUUAUCUAUCUACGAUCGAAAAAACUAAAAAUAUCGUAAUCUAAAUGUAAUGUCUUCAAUCCCUCAUUGAUCAAUAUUGUUGUUUCUACACAUCUUUAACUCUUGUAGAUAUGUCUGAUAUGUGCAUAAUGAGAGUAUAAGAAAAGAAAAAAUAAUUAUUUUUGGGACACUUGUC